UAUACAUGCAAGUCGAGCGCAUGACGAGGAGCUUGCUCCUCUGAUUGAGCGGCGGACGGGUGAGUAACACGUGGGCAACCUGCCCUGUAGACGGGGAUAACUUCGGGAAACCGGAGCUAAUACCGGAUAAUCCUCUUCCCCACAUGGGGAAGAGUUGAAAGGCGCUUUCGCGUCACUACAGGAUGGGCCCGCGGUGCAUUAGCUAGUUGGUGGGGUAACGGCCUACCAAGGCGACGAUGCAUAGCCGACCUGAGAGGGUGAUCGGCCACAUUGGGACUGAGACACGGCCCAAACUCCUACGGGAGGCAGCAGUAGGGAAUCUUCCACAAUGGACGAAAGUCUGAUGGAGCAACGCCGCGUGAGUGAUGAAGGUUUUCGGAUCGUAAAACUCUGUUGUAAGGGAAGAACCAGUACGUCAGGCAAUGGACGUACCUUGACGGUACCUUAUUAGAAAGCCACGGCUAACUACGUGCCAGCAGCCGCGGUAAUACGUAGGUGGCAAGCGUUGUCCGGAAUUAUUGGGCGUAAAGCGCGCGCAGGUGGUUUCUUAAGUCUGAUGUGAAAGCCCACGGCUUAACCGUGGAGGGUCAUUGGAAACUGGGAGACUUGAGUGCAGAAGAGGAAAGUGGAAUUCCAAGUGUAGCGGUGAAAUGCGUAGAGAUUUGGAGGAACACCAGUGGCGAAGGCGACUUUCUGGUCU
rnacentral:rRNA from 1 species